AUAAUGAGCCAUUUUGUAUCUCAGUCCUGGCUUUCUCACUUGCUUGUGCUGGCUGGAGUGCUAUGAGGCCAGGAAGCACGCUGCUAUCCCUGCAGAGGUGGUAAAGGGAUACCUUGAUCUCACAGGUGUUGCCACAGCCCAAGAUAUAUUUCAUCACUUGGAAAAAUUAAGUCCUGGGACAGUCUUGGUCACAGUGCUUUCAUGUGGUUUGCUGUUCUAUUGGUGGUGUUGUUGGAAGUCUAUUGCAUUGUCAUACUGGAAGGAAUUUUUACUCUCAAGUGUCUCAUCUAUUAGAUUCUUUAAUAUGUGAGAAGACUCUUCCCACCCUCAGUCUGAUGUUACCAUCCUUUCUGAAGAGGAGAUGUCUGUAUUCUCCUCAUCUGAGCAGGAGACAAGGAAGGGUAUUUCAAUGUAUAAUACAUAUUUGACAGCUGAUUGAAUGAAAAGAUUGAAGCUAAUGUGUGAUAUGUACUGCAGCAGCCCUGGGAAGGUAUUAAAGACAAGCUGAAAACAAAAGAGUGCAUUAAGAGCCCACAUGCAUGAGAAAACACCACGGAUCUGGUUGAGAAGUUUGCAGCAAGACUCAGUCACAGGCUAAUGUCAGCUCUUGACUGAAAGUUAUUACAAACUAACACAGUCAUGAAGGAUGUCAGUGAAUGACAAGUUUUUUAUGAAAAAUUCCUUUGAAAUGGUCCACUUAUUCCAGGGUUACAUGUGUUCAAAACCACUGGAUAAUGGAGAUGGAAUUGGUACUUGCAGGCCAAGAGCUUUAAUGGAAGCCUGCUGAAGUUUUUUUAGUUUGGUUUUGUCUAGGGAUUUAGAGACACGGGAAACUGCACUUUUGGUGCUUGCUUCUGAAUCUUGGUUUAGAAAAUACAGGUUUAAAGAGGAUGCAAACAAUGAUUCUGGGUCAAUCACUUUAGGAGAUGUUUAAAGAUCCAGUCUGUUGACGUCUGAUCAAGGGGGUUGCUAAAAGCUGUGAAGAGGGUGUGGAAAAUCAUAUACUUGUUUAUGGAGACUCCUUGUAUGGAGUGUUUUCAGCAGGAAAAAUAGCCCCUCACAGCAGCCUGAAGAGGUUUUCUCUAACCUGGAGUUAUGGUGGAAAACCCCUCGACAAACAAAACUGGAACUAGCAAGAAAAACACCUCAAAGCGAGAGAGAUCAGAAAUCAUUCCACAGUGUUCCAGGAGAAAUACCAGUAUCUUCAUCCUUCAUGAUAUUUAAAACCCAAAAGAUGUUGGUAUCUGCAGUAGAGAAAGUUAUGGCUCUGAUUCAGAGCUGAAUGAAUCCCUUUUGUUUAACCUGUUUGGAAAAAAAAGCUGCAUUUUUGCAUCCCAAGCUGAAGGCACAGAGCCAGCAGACCUAGUGAAAAAGUCAGUGACAGUGUGAGUUGUUCAGUGGUAUCACAUUUUUAAAGGAGAUGUUGUAGGAAGAAAAAGUUUCCAUAGAAAACGUCUGUAAAUAAAUAUAUGGAUCUGCUUAAUUUCUGAAGAAUGUUUUUAAGACUGACAACUUGGGCAUGUGUUGUGGCUCUGAGUGCUGGAUAUUUUAUCCACUGUUGGAGUAAUGUGGUGCUGGACACGAGAUCAUCAGUCUUAGUGGUGUCACCUGUAAACCUCAGCAGCAGAUGAGAUUCGAAUCUGAUGUCAGUGAACCUACAGCUAGUUUCCAAUAAACUUAUAAUUUGAAAGCUAUUAGCAGUUUAAUGAGAGCAGGAGCGUAGCACAAAAUGUAAUAUUGAAAAACUUUAUUAGAGAGUCAGUUUUGUAAUUCAUGGUGAGAAAUGAAUUUGCUUGAGCAGCGAUGAACAAUUUUUAGCAUCUGCACGAAAUUCAAAAGGAAAAGAGGAUUGAUAUAGCACGUGCAAUUAAAGUCACAUCUAAUGUUUAAUUAAAUUGUUCAGUUAUAAGGUGCCACACUUCCUAAAACCUCAGAAAUAAUUAUUGAUCAUCAAAUAUUCUGCCACUUGUGUUUGUCAUCAAUUGAAACUGGUGAAUUAUUCAUGGAUUUCAAUUUAAUUCAGUAAAUGCUCUUUCUGGUGAU